rnacentral:lncRNA from 1 species
GGAGAUGUGGGCGAUGAAGAUGGGGAAUGAGAAGGCAGGGCGGUGAGAUCGGUAUUAGGGGAUGAAGAAGGCAGAUCCGUGAGGUCUGCAGUAGGUGUGAUGGGUAAAGUGGGAUCAGGUGGGCCGGUAGGUGGAAUGGGCUCAGCAGUAGGGGAAGGCAGAUGGGCUUGGGAGAGGGAGUCCAUGUCAAAGUGUAAGGACGGGUCAAGGUGAGGGGAAGAAAGGUUGGGCAAAU